rnacentral:lncRNA from 14 species
GGGGAAAAUUAUUUAAUUUACUGACACUUGCAAACACAGUAGGAUGGUGAGAAACAAACACAAAAGUUACACCACUUUACCUUCACCCCUCUUCUUUCUCUGUUUGAAUUCAUUCUCUCAGUCCCAAAUCCUCUGUGCUCCUGCCCGGCAGCACAAGGGGAUGAGGAAUAAGCGACUGUUGUCAGUCCAUAACAGCUCUUCUAUGCUACUCCUUCCUCCUCACACUUGUCCCCUGCUCCAAUGUGUCUCUCCUCACGCUGCAGUCCUUCAGGAGAGACCUCCUCCUGAGCGUGCUCCUCUUCAUAGACUGCAGGUCAUGCCAGAAGCCUGCUCCAACAUGUGCUCUCCAUGGGCUACAGUUACCUUCAGGACACAUCCAACUGCUCCAGUGUGUGGUCCUGCAUGGGCUAUGGAUACCUGGAAAGACCUGCUCCACUGUGGUCUCUCGAGGAGCUGCAGGAGGUGACUGGAGGCCCCCCUGCCCUCCUCCCGCUCUGCCCUCGGGGCUCGCAGGGCUGUUUCUCACCCGGUUCCCCUCAGCCCUGCCUGCCGGGCACCGUUUGCCCUUCCUUACCCAGGCUUUGUCAGCGGCGCCCACCCCUGCCUGAGGGGCUCAGCUCUGCCCUGCGGUGGGGCCGUUGGAGCCGGCUGGAACCAGUUGCGUCCUGCACCGAGCAGCGCCGGCUGCUCCGUCCAGCAGUCAUCCAGCAGCGUUUACCUGCGGACACCCGACAGAGCCCUGACCCUGGGAGAGAAAGCUGUGGUGAAAGCCUGAGGGGGGAUCUGGGUGCCUUGUAAUGAGACAUUGGGUCUGCUCUGGACCUGGAAAUCGAUCUGCUCUACAGUGAUCCUUCCCACCAGUCAUGAAGAACAGCUACUGGAAGCAAAGCCAGUCUGGGAAAUGGUACUGAGACUGUGUUUCAAGUUGGCGCAUCACUCCAGCAUAGCAUUUAUUUCUUCCUACUAUCAUUCCAUCCCAGGACUGAAAGGACCAGAAAAUGAAAGCUGUAGUUCUGUGACUUACUUUUAUCCUUGGACAAGAAAGGGUUGAUACUUCUUCAGCAUGGGAAGCAAAAGAGGUGUUUCGGAAAAUUUUAAGGUCUCUCAGGGUAAGAGAUGACUACACACAAUUGUUCUAGGGGUAUGCUACAUCUGCAUUGAUCCAUCCUCUUUUUUUUGUCAGUUAUUCUAUUUUAUUGUCCAUGUGGAAAAGAUAAAUAUGGCCAUUUGGCCAAGAUUUCCAGGCCUCUGGCCUGGAUAGGAGAGCAUGGAUAAAUAGCCGUAUUCAGGCCAUCCCUUAUAUUGCACAGAUGGUAUGUACUUGCACAAUAACAGUUGCAGUUCAGCUACCUCUCCAGUGUGUCAGACUCAUUGUGGUGUAUCACAUAGUGCAUGCUCACACACUUCUGACUGUGAAAUAUUAGAAAUACAGCAACUCUAAUUACCUUAGACUUGUGAGUUUUUUCCAUAAGCAAAGCACAUGUUUUUGUAGUGAGGCAGAGGCCAGAAUGUCUGUCCAUAAACAUAAGCAAUUUUAUGCAUGCUCUGCAGUGCAUCCAAAAGCCAUCAUAAGCAGUACGGCAGUCCACACUCCUGUCUCACUCCUUGCAUUAGUGGUGAUUGGUGAUUGUAAAGGAAUUAAAAAUAGGAACAAUGCAAAUGCUGUUAUAUAAUGGAAGUAACUGCUCUGUGCAGAAUGUAUAAUGUGCCGACUGUAAGAUUUUAGUACACAUUUACACUCCCUCCUGAAGUUUGCCACUUGAAAACAUUAUUUGCUGCCUCCCAGACAAAAUCUUUU